rnacentral:misc_RNA from 1 species
GAUGAAGAACGUAGUGAAAUGCGAUACUUGGUGUGAAUUGCAGAAUCCCGCGAAUCAUCGAGUUUUUGAACGCAAGUUGCGCCCGAAGCCAUUCGGCCGAGGGCACGUCUGCCUGGGUGUCACGCAUCGUUGCCCCCCCAAACUCCGGUUCGGGCGGGGCGGAAGUUGGCCUCCCGUGCGUGCCUGCGCGCGCGGUUAGCCCAAAAGCGAGUCCUCGGCGACGAGCGCCGCGACAAUCGGUGGUUUUUUUACCCUCGUUCCUCGUCGUGCGUGCCCCGUCGCCCGAACGCGCUCUUGCGACCCUUACGCGUCGCCUCGGCGGCGCUCCCAACGCGACCCCAGGUCAGGCGGGACUACCCGCUGAGUUUAAGCAUAUCAAUAAGCGGAGGA